GGCACUAUAGCCAAGUGGUUACGGCGACAGAUUCGAAAUCUGUUCCUCUUGUAGGGCGCAGGUUCGAAUCCUGCUGGUGUCG
rnacentral:tRNA from 1 species